rnacentral:rRNA from 1 species
GUCUAUGGCCAUGCCACCCUGAACAUGCCAAAUCUCGUCUGAUCUCAGAAGCUAAGCAGGGUCGGGCCUGGUUGGCACUUGAAUGGGAGACCACCUAAGAAUACCAGGUGCUGUAGGCG